rnacentral:tRNA from 1 species
GCGACCGUAGUCUAGUGGUUAGGAUUCGACCUUGCCAAGGUCGUGACCCGGGUUCGACCCCCGGCGGUCGCA